rnacentral:lncRNA from 1 species
UGUAUAAUGACCCACAUGUUAGAUUUGUUUGUUUGUUUCCUUGUGGUGAGAUUUAACUUAUGACUAUCCCAUAUAUUUCCAUUGGAAAUAUCUAAACAAGGGCUUGUUUAGAUUUUGGUUAAAUUGUUUUUGCAAAAAUAUUCCACAGAUGAUGUUACAUACUUCAUAUUGCACAAUAUCAAGGGAUCCCACUAUAACAACGCUAAAUUUGGUCAUAUGAUCAAAGUGCGACCACAGGAUAUUUCUAUAGUAAAGGGACUUGGCAUUGUAACUUACUGCUGCCCUGUCACAGCAGAAAGCAACAUGGGGCAGAAUUCAGCCCAGGUCCACAGAGGGAGCAUUUAGACCAGACCUAGACAAAGAGGAGUUGUCCAGGCCAGUGAUCAAAACCUGAGU